rnacentral:rRNA from 1 species
UACGAGUGGUGCAAGCAUUAUUCGGAAUCAUUGGGCGUAAAGGGUGCGUAGGUGGCAUGUUAAGUCUGUCGUUAAAUAUCUUGGCCUAACCAAGAAAAUGCGGCGGAAACUGGCAAGCUAGAGGAUGGAAGAGAGAAGUGGAAUUCUCGGAGUAGCGGUAAAAUGCGUAGAUCUCGAGAGGAACACCGAUGGCGAAAGCAGCUUCUUGGUCCAAUCCUGACACUGAUGCACGAAAGCGUGGGGAGCAAACAGG